CCUCGGAUCAGGUAGGGAUACCCGCUGAACUUAAKCAUAUCAAUAAGCGGAGGAGAAGA
rnacentral:rRNA from 1 species